rnacentral:lncRNA from 1 species
UAAAUGUGUAGUCUCCCUCCAUAAUACUGGAGCCAACACACUGCAUCAUUUUUGAAGAAGCUUGAAAGGAAAUGACAUAGGAAUUUCUAAGGAUUCCUAUUUGGAGGAAGAAUAUCCCCAGAUUUAUAAAUGUCUAGCCCUGAAAAUGCUUAGCAACUGCAUGUAAUCUGCAUUUUUAUCCUGCAAAGAGUUGUGACCCUUUUCAGAACACAUCAGCAGAAUUAAAAGGGCCGAGGGGGAGUUUUCACUUGCUUUCUGAUGGCAAGGGAUUACUCUGCCAUUGUAUUGUCCUGAGUCCUUCUCAUGGUUGGAGGAGAGGAGAGACAACACACUCCUGUAAGCUGCCUGCAUAUAUAUCUUUCCUUCCAUUGCUGAAUAGCAGCUUUUACAUUUGCAACUUGUAUGCAAGAAAUGAGGACGAAUUUAGAAAUGAGGUAUGUGAAAUGUGAGGUUGUACACUUGGGUUUUUACAUACCAGUUUU